UCUUGGUCAUUUAGAGGAAGUAAAAGUCGUAACAAGGUUUCCGUAGGUGAACCUGCGGAAGGAUCAUUAUCAAAUCACAAUGUUUGUUGAAACACAUUCUGAGGGUUCUUACAUGUAGGUUCUCCCCCCCCUGGAGUAGCUUUCGGGACGGGGGGGAGGGAGCCCCAAACCCGUGCAAUGGAUGUGAUCGGUCUGAAGAAAAACCUGUUUGCAUUCAAACGUUUAAAACUUUCAACAACGGAUCUCCUGGUUCUCCCAUCGAUGAAGAACGCAGUGAAAUGCGAUAAGUAGUGUGAAUUGCAGAAUUCAGUGAAUCAUAGAAUGUUUGAACGCACAAGCGCCCUAAGGCAUUCCGGGGGGCAUGCCAUUCGAGCGUCAUCAAAACCACUCAGGCCGCGCUUCUUCGAAGCCCCAGCUUGGUCAUGGGCCUGAGGGUAUCAGAAUCCUUUGCCUGCAAUGCAGUGGGCGGAUAUUCCGGCACGGGCAAGAGCGUGAUAAACACAUCGUUCGCGAUUGCACGCCGGGAAGGUCCCGACAUCAUGAACCCUAGAAUCCAUUUUCAAGUUGACCUCUCUCUGACAUUUGUGUUCUUGUAG
rnacentral:rRNA from 1 species